rnacentral:rRNA from 1 species
AUUGAACGCUGGCGGCAUGCCUUACACAUGCAAGUCGAACGGCAGCACGGGAGCAAUCCUGGUGGCGAGUGGCGAACGGGUGAGUAAUAUAUCGGAACGUGCCCAGUCGUGGGGGAUGACGCAGCGAAAGCUGUGCUAAUACCGCAUACGAUCUAUGGACGAAAGCGGGGGAUCGCAAGACCUCGCGCGAUUGGAGCGGCCGAUAUCAGAUUAGGUAGUUGGUGGGGUAGAGGCUCACCAAGCCGACGAUCUGUAGCUGGUCUGAGAGGACGACCAGCCACACUGGAACUGAGACACGGUCCAGACUCCUACGGGAGGCAGCAGUGGGGAAUUUUGGACAAUGGGCGCAAGCCUGAUCCAGCAAUGCCGCGUGCAGGAUGAAGGCCUUCGGGUUGUAAACUGCUUUUGUACGGAACGAAAAGGCUCUGGUUAAUACCUGGGGCACAUGACGGUACCGUAAGAAUAAGCACCGGCUAACUACGUGCCAGCCGCCGCCGUAAAAC